rnacentral:rRNA from 1 species
GACGAACGCUGGCGGCGUGCCUAAUACAUGCAAGUAGGACGAGUUAUGAAAGGGUGAGUAACGCGUAGGCACCUAACUAUUAGAGGGGGAUAUCUAUUGGAUACGAUCGCUAAUACCGCAUACUAGUCGAUGGACCUGCGUUGUUUUAGCUAGUAGGUAGGGUAAAGGCCUACCUAGGCAACGAUACAUAGCCGACCUGAGAGGGGGAUCGGCCACACUGGGACUGAGACACGGCCCAGACUCCUACGGGAGGCAGCAGUGGUGAAUAUUGCACAAUGGGCGCAAGCCUGAUGCAGCCAUGCCGCGUGUGUGAAGAAGGCCUUCGGGUUGUAAAGCACUUUCAGCGAGGAGGCGUUACUCGCAGAAGAAGCACCGUCUAACUCCGUGCCAGUAGCCGCGGUAAUAC